UACGGGGGGAGCAAGCGUUGUUCGGAUUUACUGGGCGUAAAGGGCGCGUAGGCGGUCAGUGCAAGUCAGUUGUGAAAUCUCUGGGCUUAACCCAGAACGGUCAACUGAUACUGCUCGACUAGAGUGCAGAAGGGGCAACUGGAAUUCUCGGUGUAGCGGUGAAAUGCGUAGAUAUCGAGAGGAACACCUGCGGCGAAGGCGGGUUGCUGGGCUGACACUGACGCUGAGGCGCGAAAGCCAGGGGAGCGAAUGGG
rnacentral:rRNA from 1 species